UAUAUUUAUGAAAAUACUAUUGAUACAUUCUAAUAUACUUUUGUAAACUAUAGGUUACAAUGAAACACUGAGGAUGGCAAAUAUCUUACCUGGGUUAAUGAGAAAAGUUAUAAGAGAUAUUAAAUAUAAAGGAGCUUGACUCUCACACUAUAUCAAAAAAUUGCACACCAUUUGGAGGAGGAAUAAGACAAUGUGUUGGAGCCGAGUACACCAAAGUGACAAUCACAAUAUUCUUUCAUGUCUUGGUAACCAAAUAUAGGUGGACACAUAUCAAGGAAGGAAAGGUUGUCCGAUUUCCAAUGUUAAGAUUUGGAAAGGGUCUUCAUGUUAAGCUCUUUGAAAAGCUUUAGCUCAAUAUUAUGAUGUAUUUCUUUUAUGAAUAAUAUUUAUAUAAAAGGCAAUGA